UACGGAAGGCAGCAGUGGGGAAUAUUGCACAAUGGGCGAAAGCCUGAUGCAGCUAUGCCGCGUGUAUGAAGAAGGCCUUAGGGUUGUAAAGUACUUUCAUCGGGGAGGAAAAAACAAAACUAAUAAUUUUAUUUCUUGACGUUACCCGAAAAAGAAGCACCGGCUAACUCCGUGCCAGCAGCCGCGGUAAUACGGAGGGUGCUAGCGUUAAUCAGAAUUACUGGGCGUAAAGAGCACGUAGGUGGUUUUUUUAAGUCAGAUGUGAAAUCCCUGGGCUUAACCUAGGAACUGCAUUUUGAAACUGAAAUACUAGAGUAUCGUAGAGGGAGGUAGAAUUCUAGGUGUAGCGGUGAAAUGCGUAGAUAUCUGGAGGAAUACCUGCGGCGAAAGCGGCCUCCUAAACGAAUACUGACACUGAGGUGCGAAAGCGUGGGGAGCAAACAGGGAUUAGAUACC
rnacentral:rRNA from 1 species